GAUGAACGCUGGCGGCGUGCCUAAUACAUGCAAGUAGAACGCUGAAGGAGGAGCUUGCUCUUCUGGAUGAGUUGCGAACGGGUGAGUAACGCGUAGGUAACCUGCCUGGUAGCGGGGGAUAACUAUUGGAAACGAUAGCUAAUACCGCAUGACAACAGUUAUUGCAUGAUAACUGUUUAAAAGGGGCAACUGCUCCACUACCAGAUGGACCUGCGUUGUAUUAGCUAGUUGGUGAGGUAACGGCUCACCAAGGCGACGAUACAUAGCCGACCUGAGAGGGUGAUCGGCCACACUGGGACUGAGACACGGCCCAGACUCCUACGGGAGGCAGCAGUAGGGAAUCUUCGGCAAUGGACGGAAGUCUGACCGAGCAACGCCGCGUGAGUGAAGAAGGUUUUCGGAUCGUAAAGCUCUGUUGUAAGAGAAGAACGAGUGUGAGAGUGGAAAGUUCACACUGUGACGGUAGCUUACCAGAAAAGGACGGCUAACUACGUG
rnacentral:rRNA from 1 species